AGUGAACGCUGGCGGUAGGCCUAACACAUGCAAGUCGAACGGCAGCACAGUAAGAGCUUGCUCUUACGGGUGGCGAGUGGCGGACGGGUGAGGAAUACAUCGGACUCUACUUUUUCGUGGGGGAUAACGUAGGGAAACUUACGCUAAUACCGCAUACGACCUACGGGUGAAAGCAGGGGAUCUUCGGACCUUGCGCGAUUGAAUGAGCCGAUGUCGGAUUAGCUAGUUGGGUGGGUAAAUGCCCACCAAGGCGACGAUUCGUAGCCGGUGGGAGAGGAGGAUCGGCGACAUGGGAGCUGAGACAGCGUCCAGACUCCUACGAGAGGCAGCAGUGGGGAAUAUUGGGCAAUGGGCGCAAGCCUGGUCCAGCGAGACCGCGUGGGUGAAGGAGGCCUUCGGGUUGGAAAGCCCGUUUGUUGGGAAAGAAAAGCAGCAGGUUAAUACCCCGCUGUUCUGACGGUACCCAAAGAAUAAGCACCGGCUAACUUCGUG
rnacentral:rRNA from 1 species